UAAGAAAGUAAUGAUGGCAUAAUCGGCGUUUUAAGCAACCUCGUCCCCAGGGCCUAUUGAGGAAGGAGGCGAAGCAGCAAAGGCCCUGGUAAAGGCUGGUCACGUGAUGCUUCAAAUUUUGAAUAUUUCAGAAAUUUAACUUUUCAAACCGGGGGUGCGGCCGCUUUGAUUUUAUCAAACAUGGCCGUGCAAAGGGGCGAUAGAAUUAACCUUUUGCGACUGAAACCAGAGACUGAAACUAUGAUGAUAAACUUUUCAACUGACAGUGGAAAUACUGUAAAUAUAUAGUCUGCGAUGUUCUUCAAAAAAAUAUGGAAUAUAAUCAACAGCAAUACUUGUGGAAGAUCAAGAUUCAAAGAGAAGAGUCUAAACACUGACUGACAACAGUAAAUAUUUCUUUUCAGCUUGGAAGCGUGUUUUAUAAUAUUUGUCGUUUGGGAGUCAAUAACAUACUGUCACUACUGUCAGUGAAGAAUUUGAUUUGGGACUUUGAUGUACCUUUAUGAAAAGAUUACUACUGAAUACAAAUGUGCAUGUAAAAUGUGAUUAGAACGUCAGUUUAAUAUGAACAGUUGCACUGUCAUUGACUCAAUAUAUUUUAAUGUGGGACAAACAUUAAAAACAUUAAAGUACUGUGCCAAGUGACAAAAUUCCAUGCCGACCAUGGGUUACGUAUGUAUGCAUUUUUAUUAAACGUUUAUACCAAUAUACA